rnacentral:other from 1 species
CAGAGCCUGGGAUGCUCGAUAACCUAUUAUUUUGAACCUACAGACGCGAAACGGGAGUCCUAUUUAUACACACAGCCUACGUCGUGCCGUCUCGAACGGAAGACGGAAUCUCUGUUGCGGACACCCACCUAGCCUUUAGGCUAGGUGUCAAAAUAUAGGACCGGCACUCCGGGUUAUUU